AUAACUGCAUCAAGGAUUAAGUGCUUUUUAAAUUUAAGCUCUUGAUACAUCCAGCAAAUUGCUUUUGGAGACAUCGGGCCUGGUGGUCCCCCACUGAUGGGCAUUCUGUGCUCAUGUUUCUGUUGCCUCACAGGCACUGUGUUGAGGAGUGUUUGUGUUAAUCCUAUUUGAUAUGCUUUGUUAUUCUUUUAAUUUUCAGAGAAUUCACGGCUGGGACCAGCUAGUCCAUGGCUCCACCUUCUUGGGAGCAGAUUAGAUCCGCUUUCAAGCCAGUGAGGUGAUCUGAGUCCCAGCAGCCUCAUCUGCCAAGUCAACCCCUGCACUGCAUUGAGAAAGCUGCGGUCAGAGAUUCAGAGUGAAGACAAGCGCUGUCCCACGCCAGAGCCCAAACCUGUCCCCGGGUUGGGAAGCUGAGGAGUGAUUAUUUGGUUCUCGGAUGCUUUGAGGGUGCCUCAUGUGGUAUGCGAUCAGUGCACACAUCCCAGAUUCCUGCUUUUGAGUAAUGAAGGCGACCAAACCACGUGACCCUGCCUGCAAAGAUCCCACCUGGACUCCCGGUUCCUCCAAGGAGCCAUCGUGUGGUUCAAAUCCAUCAGAAAUUCUCCAAAUCUCCACCCUCCUCAGGGUGCAGAGUUGGCUGCUUUUCUGUGUCCCCUGCUGAUCACCGCAACCACUGGGCGCCUUGGCCUGCGAAGCCUCAGCUGUCCUCCGUCUGCAGACGAGCCAAGGAGCAGUUGCCUCUGGGGUGCCACAGUUGCCCAGAAUCCCUGGCAGCCACCUGUUCAAAGAAUCUUGAAGCAAUCAGAUGGUUGAUGCAGAAGAAGGUUCGUGAAUUCCGGAUUUAGCUUUGAAUGCUUCAGCCGGCCUGGAAUUUGUCUGUAUUUGUCUGCCUGCUGCCUCAUGGUGGCCCAUUUUAUUUCCUCUACCUGAAGGACAAGUGGAUACCUCUGAGCAAUCUGGGGGAAGAGAAUCAUGGUUUCCAUUAAACCCAGCCUGGGGUUUGAAAACUCUGGGCAAGGGAAGGUGAUGAAGAGGCUGCUGGUUUACAGACUGUACAUUGAGAAGCAAGGUCUUAAGAUAUACUGACCUUGAGCUUUCCCAACAAUCCUUGAAAAGAGAGGGUUCUGCGAAGGGAAGCAACCUGUCAGGUAAGGGACCUCUUCAGUUACCCUACAUUGUCAAGUGAGUGAUGUCCUUAGGUAAGUACCCUCCCUAGGGUCACACGAGUAGGUACAUGGUAGAGCCAGGAUUUGAACACCCAUAUCCCCCAUUCCAAAACUCCCAUUAUUCUCAAAUCUGCUAUAACUGCAACCACAUGGGUGAUUUCUCUAACAUUUUUCUUAAAGUGUGUUUUGCAUCAUUAUCUUAUUAGGUAAAAAUUGAUUAACAAGAUGACUUCUCUUCUCCCAAUCACCAGACUAUAAAAAUUGCUUUUGUGUUAAACUGUUCUGAUGGGAUUGUGGGAAGUAAGUGAAUGUGAAAAUUCCUUGGAAGGAUGGCAGAUAAUGAGCAUCUAUCACACAAGCUCUUACUGUCUGUAGCUCAGCACAAGCCAAAGACGUUUUACAGUGGCCUAAAAUUGCAGUCAUUUUUACCAUAAAAAUUUGUCACUGCAAGAGUAACACAGUCUUGACGGGUCUGCUAUUACCUUGAUAAACAUUUUCCACCGGGCGAAACUCUGAGCGCCUGUUCUCACUUGCACACUGACACUGUGCUCAACAAAGCUGUAGUAUGUCUGGCUCCUGCCUUCUUCACCCUUGGACACGACCAUGUAGAGAAAAAUUCCAAUUUAGGAUGCGUCUCUCCUGGUCAUGCUUUAGAAAAC